GCGGGAUUAGUAUAGUGGUAAUAUGCUUGCUUCCCAAGCAAGAGACACGAGUUCAAUUCUCGUAUCCCGCACCA
rnacentral:tRNA from 6 species